AUUGAACGCUGGCGGCAGGCCUAACACAUGCAAGUCGAACGGUAACAGGGAUCAGCUUGCUGAUUCGCUGACGAGUGGCGGACGGGUGAGUAAUGUCUGGGAAACUGCCUGAUGGAGGGGGAUAACUACUGGAAACGGUAGCUAAUACCGCAUAACGUCGCAAGACCAAAGAGGGGGACCUUCGGGCCUCUUGCCAUCGGAUGUGCCCAGAUGGGAUUAGCUAGUAGGUGGGGUAAGGGCUCACCUAGGCGACGAUCCCUAGCUGGUCUGAGAGGAUGACCAGCCACACUGGAACUGAGACACGGUCCAGACUCCUACGGGAGGCAGCAGUGGGGAAUAUUGCACAAUGGGCGCAAGCCUGAUGCAGCCAUGCCGCGUGUAUGAAGAAGGCCUUCGGGUUGUAAAGUACUUUCAGCGGGGAGGAAGGGAGUAAAGUUAAUACCUUGGCUCAUUGACGUUACCCGCAGAAGAAGCACCGGCUAACUCCGUG
rnacentral:rRNA from 1 species